rnacentral:lncRNA from 12 species
AAAAAAAUUAAAUGUGUUAGUUUUGAUAAAAAUCAACGCCUGCAAUAUGCAAGUUGGUGUAGCGCAGGCAGCAGGCAGUAGGCAGUAGUUUGAGCUGUCUGGAUAUGAUUAAGAGAGAAUAACUAUGACAUAUGUGCACAUCUCUGCUGCUCUUCAGUGUGAGCUAAUGUUUCUCAGUUUUUCAUGUAUAGGGAAAUAUCCUCUCAGCUGUGCUGACAGCCUCAGAUGAAUCACCCUGGUUUAUUCUGCUGAUGCUGCAGGUAUACGAGAGCCAGGAAUUUAAUAUGCAGCUGUGGGAGAGAAGAGCUACGGGUGCUGGAGAGGAUCAAUAAUCGAAAUGUCAAGCAGAGUGGCUGAACUGCUAUACGUUUCAUUCCAGAGUUGCAGUGACCCUUGCAGAGCUGCAGUUGCAGUAAUGGGCUGUAAACCGUUAAGGGCCUAACCUCAGUGUCUCUCGGGACAGUUGUCUGCAGGAUCACACACAAGAGCCAGAGAGCUGAAAGCCUAUAUCUACGAACACUUUCUGCGGGGUACUGUUAUCUGUUUUCAUGUCUCAAAGCUAGUUUUAAAGACACCCACAACUGAGUGCUUCUCCUCUUUUGUGGAUUCAGAAUCAGGGCAGAUUCAAGAACAAACAAAUUCUCACACUGGAUUUCAAAAACAAAGAAAGUCUAUGGCUUACAAAGAGUUAGAGAGGAAAAUUGGGCCUCUAUUAUAAUCCAAACAGAAUCACUGCACAAAGGAGAAUUAGGAAACAGCACAGAAGAUGAGAAUGCACAAUAAAGCACUGACAAAACUAAUAAUGCAUUCAGAGCCAAAGUUUCCCUCCAGGGUCCAAAGAGAGGAAAUAACUAUUUCCAAUGAAUCCAGUUGAACUUUCAUAAUAACGGCUACUUGUGUAAAACAGUAAUAUUCUGAAAUAUUAUAAUCAUUUUAAAAAGGAGUUUUAGAGAUUUACACAUAAACCACAUAUAGUCAUUAUUAUGUUCAUAUUUCAUAAGUCAACAUGAAUUGCUAUUCAUAUGUGAAACUGGAUAUUCACUGAGACAGGACUUGAUUUUAUUGAGAACUGAUUGGACAAUGAAAAGGGGGCGUUACAUGCCAGAAUGAGCCAGGUGGUUGGAGGGGAGGGGUACAAAAUAAGAGAGAUUUAUGAUGUCAGUUGUAUAGGAAAGUCUUUUCAGUGUGCGUUUAAUAAAAGAUUAUAAAGAUUUUCUAUGGAACAAUGUGUGAUGAAUCACAAAAAGUAAGGCUUGCAAUUGCAGUGAUAUAAAGGCUUAUACUGUAGUAAAUGGCCACACCAUCAACCACAAUUAGAGGUUAGUUUGUGUUGCAGGACAUUCACCAGGCUUUGCAUGCACUGGGAGCCAGAAAUUGUGGUCUUUCAUAAAGUCUGAAAGGGACUGAGGGAGUGAGGAAUUGACUGGACAUACAAGGACUGAAAUCUUGUCAUUGUCAAACCAAGGAGAUGACAAAUAGCAUUACAUUUUUGCUGUAAGAAGACUUCAGGUUUU